GGACCUUGUUCUGUGAGAUUUGAAUUGCAGGAGAUGACCUAAACUUUAAAGUUAUUCUUUCACCCCUGGGCUAUAAAUUCCAGCUACGCCCAUAGAACUCGAUCCUGGUGAAGCACCCACAAUCCGCAGCGUCACUUUUCUUCUUCUGAAAAGUGCCAUCUCCGCACGACUACCUGAUCUUUCUCUCGUAUUCGCCAUCUCUAAGAAGUCUACCUCUUGGUUCAAAGUCUCUUAAUCAGGUCAUGUUUGGUUUCUUUCGCUGGCGCUUCAGUUUGCGAUAUUAGUAUACACAUUUCGAUAGUCCGUACAAUGAUAUACUAGGGGAUGGGUCUACUUCAGACAGAUGUUUUGCAGUUCUCACUUUUGUUUUAUGCUAAACUGCUUCUGCAGAUGUGUUUUAUAAGUUUUUUACAUUAUUGAAGGGAAUCCGUCUCGUUGAUUAGGAGUUCAGAAUAAAAACUGGGUGAUUCUUAACAUCCCUGACUGGGCUGAGCAUGAGCGGAGCAAUAUACCUAAAACCCUAUUACUACGCUCAUGUGUCUGCCCGGUUUAGGUUCUGUCGAGGCAUGAACGAUAAUGGCGCAAGGAGGAAGCUUGAUACGCCAUUUCACUUCCAUGUACUGUCACACUGUUUAAAGAAACUUAUGCUAAGAUCUAGGUGAUUUAUGAUCGUAUAAUUUUCGCUUGAGGGCUUUGCCACUUAACUUGAACAAAUGUCUUCAGUUAGUGAGGCUUGAUUCCCAAUCUUUUUUCUUUUCCCGACACGAAUCUUUCUGACCUGCCUAAAUUGUUCUUUCUAGAAAUUUGGGAGUACUUUGGUCUUAAUUAUCUAGGUAUGUGUAGCGCUGCGGUUCAAAAUCAUAAGUUCUUUGAUCACAAAUGACGACAAUUUUUUUAUCUGAGCUCAGUCCAGGACAUGAGCUGUAACUGGUUAGAGGGUAACCUCUGUAGGUGUGGCCCUGAUGUUGAAUAUCACAGUUUGUCUGAUUCUAUCUGACGACAUAUACUUGUUUCCUGAGCCACUUCAAUGAAGACGGUUCGUUUCUUGCAAGUCAUAGAGGUUAUUUCUGGUUUGUGUGGCGCUGAUGUUCAAUAUCACAGUUUGUCUGAUCAUAGAUGACGACAAAAGUAUUUUUUCUGAGCUCACACUCUAGAACGUUUCCAGUGAGAGAGUAGAGAGUUAACCUGGUGCAUGUGACGCUGAUGUUUAAUAUCACAGUUUGUCUGAUUGUAAAUGACGACAAUACCUUAUUUCCUGAGCCACAGCAAUGGAUACGGAUAACAACUUUUAAUUCAGAGAGGUUGACCUUGGUUUAUGUGUCACUGAUGCUGAAUAUUAAAGAUGUCCAAGCAUUUAUCCUGAGCUCAUUCUUCAGGGCAUGGCGUGAUUAGAGAAUAAUCUCAGUACAUGUGGCGCUUAUGUUGAAUAUCACAGUUUGUCUGAUUGUAAAUGUCGACAACAAUUUAUCGCCUGAGCCACAAUUGGUGUUGAUAGCACCCAUUCGAAAGGAUAAUGUAUCAAUUGUAAACUGUUUGUUAAAAAACUCAAAGUUGGCAAGAGCCGAAAUCGUUUCAAGAUUAAAGAUGCAAAGGAUCAUUCUUAAUAGGUUUGAAUGUGUGUAUAUAUAUGUAGGGAAAUGUUCAAAUUACCCACCCAUUUACAAAAUCGUCCCUCCACCCCAUCAUGGAAAACGAGGGAGAACGAGUGGGUGAAGAUAAGGGCUAGGAACAGAGGGAGGGCAACGGAUAGAGUAAUACUUCCUUCAUUCGGUAUAGAAUGCUUAAAUCUAUAACAAUUAAGAAGCAGUCAAAUGUUAUGCUUCUGUUUUAUUUGUUUUGAAAGAUACCAAGUUUUUAUUAAAGUGGUAUCUUCGGAAUAGUAUA